rnacentral:misc_RNA from 1 species
GCUACAUGUAAAUGUUACACAAACAAAAGUAUAUUCUCAUCAAACUACAUAGAUACCAGAGGAUACAAAAUAGUUAUAGAAGACUGACUGAUCAAUUCGAAAACAAAUGAAUAAGUAUCUGGUGAAACCAAUCUUUUUCCAAAAAUGCUGAUCUACAGCAUAACCAGGACGCCACUUCUUUCAACUUCUAUGGCAUAACCUACUUUAUAUAUUGAGAUACCCACUUAAAUCCAUCGCCAUAACCCAUUUUCCGUACAAUACUGCACAUAAAUACCUCCAAAGGACGAACGGUAGAAUCAGCAAGAUUCACCUUACCUUUGCCAGUUGUGACACCGGUCAAGCCAAGGUGAUAACGCAGUUCAUCUUCUGAAGCUGCAUAUGGUAUGUCUAUCUUGUUUCCCAAA